UCGAGAAUCUUUCGCAAUGGGCGCAAGCCUGACGAAGCGACGCCGUGUGAGCGAAGAAGGCCUUCGGGUUGUAAAGCUCUUUCGCUAGGGAACAAGAGAGAUGGAAUAACACUCCAUUGAUUUGAUGGUACUUGGUAAAGAAGCACCGGCUAACUCCGUGCCAGCAGCUGCGGUAAUACGGAGGGUGCAAGCAUUGAUCGGAAUUACUGGGCGUAAAGGGCGCGUAGGCGGUAGGAAAAGUCAGAUGUGAAAUUCCGGGGCUCAACCCCGGAGCUGCAUUUGAAACUCUCUUGCUAGAGGACAGUUAGGGAAAACGGAAUUCCACGUGUAGCGGUGAAAUGCGUAGAUAUGUGGAAGAACACCGGUGGUGAAGACGGUUUUCUGGGCUGUAACUGACGCUGAGGCGCGAGAGCUAGGGGAGCAAACAGG
rnacentral:rRNA from 1 species